rnacentral:rRNA from 1 species
UACAGAGGUCUCAAGCGUUGUUCGGAUUCAUUGGGCGUAAAGGGUGCGUAGGCGGCGCGGUAAGUCGGGUGUGAAAUCUCGGAGCUUAACUCCGAAACUGCAUUCGAUACUGCCGUGCUUGAGGACUGGAGAGGAGACUGGAAUUUACGGUGUAGCGGUGAAAUGCGUAGAUAUCGUAAGGAACACCAGUGGCGAAGGCGGCGACCUGGGCCAAUACUGACGCUGAGGUGCGAAAGCGUGGGGAGCAAACAGG